AGAAACCUGACUUUCUUGAACUUUUGUUCAAUUACUGGAAAGCUGUCGAGAAAACAUGAAAAAAAUCGAUGCAAGAGAAAGCAACAGAGUUUCAAUCCUGUAGCAUAACUGGUCAACAGUAAAAGUGACACCACUACGUCACAAAGGUACUUAAGAACACAAACAAACAAACACAAAGUAAAGAAGAACCACCAUAUCAAACUGUCAUGACUUAGUCUGCUACACAAUACUGCUAAAGCAAAGGUAUUUUGGGUACAAAAGGCCUUCAAUGACUAAGAGGUGUUGUUUCAUUACAAUAUAUAUUCUGGUAACACCUAAGAAACAGAAAUACUAGGGCAAGGAUGGCCACAAGUUUCUCUAUCUUGCUCGUCUGGUCCUCUGUUCUUAGGCUGGAGGCUUCGUCAAUAGGGUCGGGCAAUGGUCUGGAACAGGCAUCGGAGAUGAUAGCUGUUUAGAUGGCAAGUGUGAAAAGGCAAAGUAAAAGAAAGAGCAUUAGAGAUGCAAUACAGGCUUCAGGCUAGUCAAAGUUAUCAAAAGGAAGAUGUGCUUGAGGCUAUACUGAAGUACAGAACAGAGAUGCCCAUUAAUUUAUGUAUAAGACCAAAAAAAGGUGAAAUUCUGUACCUCCGGCUGCUAAUAACCCUCUACACCCUAGUAUCCAUAAGAUUUUCCAUAGGCAGAAGGAUUAUGGCUGGAAACCCCUGAACUACUAGGUCGCCCAGAGGAAUAAACGCCAUAUGGUGCAUAAUUGCCUCCAUUACCAACCUGUGAGCCACCAUAACUAUCCCUUGGAGACAAAUCACUGUAAUCAUGUCCACCUGAAUAAGAUGAAUAACCAUGCCGACGUGAUCGAUUAUCACGGUUACCAUAUCUUGAGCCAUCUGGCACGCUUGCAGGCAUGGGGGCAUAAGAAAGGCCAGGAGAAAAUGCAGGAAAAGAUCCCUCCAUCUCAAAUGCAUUGGCCCUCAACCGCAUAAGUACUUGCAAUAACGCAUUGGCAGCAACAUUAGCAUCUCCAGUAAUCUGCACCAUCUCGUCAUCUACGGAUGCCACUUUUGGAUGAUUUUCCUUCGAAAGAACGCGGAUGCUUGCCCUUGUGGAAUUCCGCAUCUCAGUGAUAAUGGAACCACCUUUACCAAUAAGGCAUCCAACUCGUGAACUAGGUACAAGCAGGCGAGUCGUAAGAAUAGCAUCACCGGAUUCUUUUUCAGUUUUCUCACUACUUCUUGGUUGCAAACGCAUUGUUGCAUCGAUGGUAGGGGAUUGAUCUUCAAAUGUCUCCUUUGCUGAUACAAAUAUAAUGCAAUCAUCUCCCUCAGCCGCAGCACUAUCGACUUUAAUAGAUGCACCUGAUUCCUGUCUUAGCUGUUUGAUAACUCCUCCACCUUUGCCAAUUACAGCUCCUACAUUCUCAAUUGGACAAACCAAACGAACUGCAAACUCCUUUACAGAAGACGAUCUACUUCUACCAUCACUUUUGUAACUUGCGUAAGGACCCAUCAAUGAUGUCACACCCAUGACUUGGCUACCAGCAUGAGGAUUCACAAGUCCAGCACCAGACCUAUAUAUGCUGGGUGACGACAGCAACUGAUGUUGGGACCUUGAUGGAUUAUCAUGGAGGCGUGCUGCUACUUGAUAAAGUGCUCUCUUAACAACUGCAACUUCACCGGUUAUCUGGAGAAGCUCAUCCGAGUUUAGAGCACAAGGGGGCAAGUGCUCACUGCUUAACACCCGAAUCUGCGCACCUGUUUCACUUCGUAAAUUCUGGAUCACUUGUCCAGCUUUCCCUAUCACACAACCUAUCUGAUCUGAUGGGACAAUCAUCCUUACAGUAAUCUGAUGAUCCUCCAGAUCUUCGUCCAUACGCAGCUCUUCAGCAAGGACUCUGUCAUGCACCCUAAAUAGAGCAUCUUGAGCAGGUGAAAUCAGGUCACCAGUAUCUUCAGAGAUAUUAGUUUCUUCACUUCCACUAUAAAUAGUUACAACACGCUCGCAGCCAGGUAUGGUCUCACUAAUCCUAAUCUUUGAAUUAGUUUCAGUCCUCAAUUGUUUUGCAAUGUCCCCACCAACUCCAAUGAUACUUCCAAUUUUUCCUGUGGGGCAUAAAUAACGAAAAACAGUAUCCUCUGGUCCAAUGGAAUUUGAUUCCUUCUCAUCAGUUGGAGUCCUCCUCUUACUUCCAUCACUCCUGGAAUAGUCGGAUUCCGAUUGCAUUCUCUUACCGUAGUUAUUCCUCUGGCCUGCCAUGUCAAGGAGCUGAAUGUGCCACCCUUUUGUUUGUCUAGCAAACCUGUAUCAAGUGUUCUGUGAAAGCAGAAAUCCG
rnacentral:misc_RNA from 1 species